rnacentral:rRNA from 1 species
GAUGAACGCUAGCGAUAGGCUUAACACAUGCAAGUCGAGGGGCAGCACAUGAGUGGCAACACGAUGGUGGCGACCGGCGCACGGGUGAGUAACACGUAUGCAACCUGCCCAUAACUGGGGGAUAACCCGUCGAAAGGCGGACUAAUACCGCAUGACAACGAUGAUCCGCAUGGUGAUUCGUUCAAAGAUUUAUCGGUUAUGGAUGGGCAUGCGUUCCAUUAGGUAGUUGGCGGGGUAACGGCCCACCAAGCCUUCGAUGGAUAGGGGUUCUGAGAGGAAGGUCCCCCACACUGGUAGUGGGACACGGACCAGACUCCUACGGGAGGCAGCAGUUAGGAAUAUUGGUCAAUGGGCGAGAGCCUGAACCAGCCAAAUCGCGUGAAGGAGGAAGGUAUUAUGUAUUGUAAACUUCUUUUGUCGGGGAAUAAAGUGCAGCACGUGUGCUGUUUUGUAUGUACCCGAAGAAUAAGGAUCGGCUAACUCCGUGCCAGCCGCCGCGGUAAGAC